rnacentral:rRNA from 1 species
AGAGUUUGAUCCUGGCUCAGGAUGAACGCUAGCGGCAGGCUUAACACAUGCAAGUCGAGGGGCAUCGGGAGGGAAGCUUGCUUUCCUUGCCGGCGACCGGCGCACGGGUGAGUAACACGUAUGCAACCUGCCCUCUUCAGGGGGACAACCUUCCGAAAGGGAGGCUAAUCCCGCGUAUAUCGGUUUCGGGCAUCCGAGAUCGAGGAAAGAUUCAUCGGAAGAGGAUGGGCAUGCGGCGCAUUAGCUAGACGGCGGGGUAACGGCCCACCGUGGCGACGAUGCGUAGGGGUUCUGAGAGGAAGGUCCCCCACACUGGUACUGAGACACGGACCAGACUCCUACGGGAGGCAGCAGUGAGGAAUAUUGGUCAAUGGGAGAGAUCCUGAACCAGCCAAGCCGCGUGAGGGAAGACGGCCCUAUGGGUUGUAAACCUCUUUUGUCGGAGAACAAAACCCGGGACGAGUCCCGGACUGCGUGUAUCCGAAGAAAAAGCAUCGGCUAACUCCGUGCCAGCAGCCGCGGUAAUACGGAGGAUGCGAGCGUUAUCCGGAUUUAUUGGGUUUAAAGGGUGCGUAGGCGGUCCGUUAAGUCAGCGGUAAAAUUGCGGGGCUCAACCCCGUCGAGCCGUUGAAACUGGCAGACUUGAGUUGGCGAGAAGUACGCGGAAUGCGCGGUGUAGCGGUGAAAUGCAUAGAUAUCGCGCAGAACUCCGAUUGCGAAGGCAGCGUACCGGCGCCAGACUGACGCUGAGGCACGAAAGCGUGGGGAUCGAACAGGAUUAGAUACCCUGGUAGUCCACGCAGUAAACGAUGAAUGCUGGUUGUCCGGGUCGAAUGAGAUCUGGGCGGCGAAGCGAAAGCGAUAAGCAUUCCACCUGGGGAGUACGCCGGCAACGGUGAAACUCAAAGGAAUUGACGGGGGCCCGCACAAGCGGAGGAACAUGUGGUUUAAUUCGAUGAUACGCGAGGAACCUUACCCGGGCUCAAACGGGAGUGGAAUGGACCAGAGACGGUUCAGCCUACGGGCCGCUUCCGAGGUGCUGCAUGGUUGUCGUCAGCUCGUGCCGUGAGGUGUCGGCUUAAGUGCCAUAACGAGCGCAACCCCCGCCGGCAGUUGCUAACGGGCAAUGCCGAGGACUCUGCCGGGACUGCCGCCGCAAGGCGAGAGGAAGGCGGGGAUGACGUCAAAUCAGCACGGCCCUUACGUCCGGGGCGACACACGUGUUACAAUGGCAGGUACAGAGAGAAGCGAUGCGGCGACGCAGAGCGGAACUUCAAAGCCUGUCUCAGUUCGGAUUGGAGUCUGCAACCCGACUCCAUGAAGCUGGAUUCGCUAGUAAUCGCGCAUCAGCCACGGCGCGGUGAAUACGUUCCCGGGCCUUGUACACACCGCCCGUCA